rnacentral:misc_RNA from 1 species
GAUGAAGAACGUAGCGAAAUGCGAUAAGUAAUGUGAAUUGCAGAAUUCAGUGAAUCAUCGAAUCUUUGAACGCACAUUGCGCCCGCCAGUAUUCUGGCGGGCAUGCCUGUCCGAGCGUCAUUUCAACCCUCGAACCCCUCCGGGGGGUCGGCGUUGGGGAUCGGCCCUUUACGGGGCCGGCCCCGAAAUACAGUGGCGGUCUCGCCGCAGCCUCUCCUGCGCAGUAGUUUGCACACUCGCAUCGGGAGCGCGGCGCGUCCACAGCCGUUAAACACCCCAAACUUCUGAAAUGUUGACCUCGGAUCAGGUAGGAAUACUCGCUGAACUUAAGCAUAUCAAUAAGCGGAGGA